AGGUGAAUAUAACUAAUAAAAGCCGAUCAGUAACCUAUCGUUCCUUCUUUGCAUUCUGUCGGCUCGAGAAGAACGUGGGCUACUGUUCACCAAGGCUUUGUCAAACAGGAAGAGAAAAUGGAUGGAUAUCAUGAAAAAUCGAAAGGAGAGAAGGAGGAGAAAAUGGAUGGAAAGAAGACUGGGCACCAAGAGACCAAGAACGGCAAAGAUCCAUCUCAAGGGAAAAGACAGAAGGAGUCAUGUUUAAUUUUGUAAUGUUAAGUUUAGAGCUGUGCAAUUAAUCGAUUUUAAAUCGUAAUCGCGAUUAUGUGUUUAAAUUGAUGUUUAAAAAUGUGACAUCGUGAAAUGAAAUUUUCGCUUAGGGUAAUUACGGUACUUAUGUUUGCAAGUGUUGAAUUUUGUGGCAAGUUCAAUAAUUUUUCUUAAUAUUAAUCAUGGAAAAUUAAUUCUGAAUAAUUAAUAUUGUUUAAGUGCAGGAUUUGCACUUAAAUCCAAAUGGGGAUAUUAUUUGCAAAAUGUUCAAUAAAAAACAGCACAUUUCGCCCUGCAGCUCAAGCUGGAAACCAGCAGAUCUAUCUCCUCUGUUUACUGCCAGAACCUUUGGCUCCAAUCAGAAACUAGCUUAUUCAAAUGACGCAGCGGAUCAUUGAUCUGAUUGGUUGAAGGACUAUCCAAUUGCGUCCAAUUGAGUCAUUUGAACGAUGCCCAUUGAUCACGCCUCUUGUGCAGUAGAAACAAAGCGCAGCCCCCCUAGACUAAUGUUAAAUCUUAAAAGAUUGAGCUUAGUGUGGUGAAAAUCAGACUUUUUCACCUACAAACAGUACACAUGCACUCAACUGCAAGCAAUCUGCAUGCUUUUCUAGCCACAGACAGACAUUGGCCGGGUUUCCCAAAAUUGUUA